rnacentral:rRNA from 1 species
UACGUAGGGAGCAAGCGUUGUCCGGAUUUAUUGGGCGUAAAGAGCGCGUAGGCGGCUCGGUAAGCCGGAUGUGAAACCUCCAAGCUCAACUUGGAGCGGCCAUUCGGAACUGCCGUGGCUAGAGUCUGGUAGGGGAACACGGAAUUCCUGGUGUAGCGGUGAAAUGCUUAGAUAUUGGGAGGAACACCAGUGGCGAAGGCGGCUCACUGGACCGGAACUGACGCUGAGGCGCGAAAGCGUGGGGAGCAAACGGG